UGCCAAGCAAGUUUUCAUAUGGGAACAGU
rnacentral:piRNA from 1 species